AAUGAACGUUGGCGGCGUGGAUUAGGCAUGCAAGUCGAGCGACAAGGUCAGACGGAACCUUCGGGGGAAGUCUGGCUGGAGGAGCGGCAAACGGGGUAGUAAAGCGUCGGAACGUACCCACAGGACCGGGAUAGCCGCGCCUUGGGCAACCAAGGUUCGCGAAAGUGCGGGUAAUACCGGAUGAUCUCUACGGAGCAAAUGGUCCGCCGCCUGUGGACCGGCCGACGUGGUACUAGCUUGUUGGUGAGGUAACGGCUCACCAAGGCUUCUAUGGUACCGGGUGUGAGAGCAUGGCCCGGCUCACUGGGACUGAGACACUGCCCAGACACCUACGGGUGGCUGCAGUCGAGAAUCUUCGGCAAUGCGCGCAAGCGUGACCGAGCGACGCCGCGUGCGGGAUGAAGGCCUUCGGGUUGUAAACCGCUGUCAGUUGGGAGGAAAUCCAUAGGGGCUAUCCCCUAUGGUUGACCUAUCAUCAGAGGAAGGACGGGCUAAGUUCGUG
rnacentral:rRNA from 1 species